GAUUACGUCCCUGCCCUUUGUACACACCGCCCGUCGCUACUACCGAUUGAAUGGCUCAGUGAGGCGUCCGGACUGGCCCAGGGAGGUGGGCAACUACCCCCCAGGGCCGGAAAGCUCUCCAAACUCGGUCAUUUAGAGGAAGUAAAAGUCGUAACAAGGUCUCCGUUGGUGAACCAGCGGAGGGAUCAUUA
rnacentral:rRNA from 1 species